rnacentral:tRNA from 1 species
GUCUCUGUAGCACAUUGGACUUGUAAUGCAAAGGUCGUUGGUUCGAAUCCAACCUGGGAUG